UACGAAGGGGCUAGCGUUGUUCGGAAUUACUGGGCGUAAAGGGCUCGUAGGCGGCCAACUAAGUCGGAUGUGAAAUCCCCAGGCUUAACCUGGGAACUGCAUCCGAUACUGGAUGGCUUGAAUCCGGGAGAGGGAUGCAGAAUUCCAGGUGUAGCGGUGAAAUGCGUAGAUAUCUGGAGGAAUACCGGUGGCGAAGGCGGCAUCCUGGACCGGCAUUGACGCUGAUGAGCGAAAGCUAGGGGAGCAAACGGG
rnacentral:rRNA from 1 species